UACAGGGGGUGCAAACGUUGCCCGGAAUUAUUGGGCGUAAAGCGCGCGUAGGCGGCCACUUAAGUCGGAUGUGAAAGCCCCUGGCUCAACUGGGGAAGUGCACCCGAAACUGAAUGGCUUGAAUGCAAAAGAGGGUCGCGGAAUUCCCGGUGUAGAGGUGAAAUUCGUAGAUAUCGGGAGGAACACCGGUGGCGAAGGCGGCGACCUGGGUAGAUACUGACGCUGAGGCGCGAAAGCGUGGGGAGCAAACAGG
rnacentral:rRNA from 1 species